CUCAGCCACUCCAAAUGAGGAGGCAGGUAAGUAACGAUGGCGCAGCUAUUUUACUUGUAGAAAGCUCCCAAAAACCUUUGAAACCUCAAUGCCCACAGCAGUUCUCCCAACAGGGUGAUGUGGUACAUGGAAGUUCCCAUUUGUCCAUCGAACAUUGCGACUCCCCUGCGGAUUUCCUUGUGCAGCUGCUGUAUCCAUGGAGCACCUUGACUCGGCACUGGAGUAUCAGGCAAGGAUUACAGGCAGUUGCAUAAGGCUUGGUUUUUGAGAGACAGGGAUUUAAGCGUGUAACUAGGGCUGCAGCUCAGACUUCUUUGCUUGAGAGCUGCAAUACAGGCUCUUGUGAGUGCAGUAAUCCCACUCUGGGUGGCUCUGCUGUUCCCAUGUAGCCUGUUUCCCUCAGUGGGAAGUUCUGCCCUCACUUUGUCUCACUGGGAUCCCCCCUCUGGCCAGCUUUUGGGUGCAUCUGCCAUGGAUGAUGCUUUCUCCUGCUUCAGGCUGAAGCCUGUGAGGAGCACAGGGACCUCUGCGCACUCACACCUUUGGAGAUGGAGCUUUGUGCUGUGUGACUUGCCCCAUAUCUAAUAAAUGCGAGCCAUUAAUUGGAUCAUUGCCCACUUCUCCAGUUAAUUUCCUGGGUAUUUUUAAAUGUUAAAAUGUAGUUUUUAUAGUCUUUCAUUAUUUUUAGCCUUAAGCUUCCCUAUAAUCGUCCCUGUAAUGUAACUGUAAAAACCUCCCAGCUUUGUAUCAUAAAAGGAGGACAUUAAUUGUCAUUUCUUGUGUACAUCAGCAAGAUCAAAACAUGCUUCCUGAUUACUUCUGUGUGUACAUACAGUCUCUUUGAUAUUUAGAUAUGAAUAAAGUGUGCGUGUGUAAUGUGAAAGUCAGCUCUUCCCUCCCUGCUGCUUGGCAGAGGCUUAUUUACCAAAUGGAGUUUAAAAUGUAGUCAGUGCCCUUCCAAAAUGAUUUCUCAACGAUGAGAGUGUCUCUGAGCACAGUGGCACAAUAUUUGCCCCCUUGGGUCAGAAGAUGCGUGCAGAGCCUCGGCCUUUUAGUGCUCAGACAGGGGCAAGCACAAACCUUUUCAUCUCCCCAAAUCGCCUGGCUGCAAGAGAAACUCCUGCCCUGGGUUUUGCUUUAGUGCACAGAUUAACAACACAGGGAGGAAUCCCAUCCCAUCCAAUCCAUCGCUGGGUUGCAGUGAAGGAUUCCUGAGGCUGGAUUUGGGACAGGGAACACCUCUCCUUGCAGAGCUUGGAAGGGCUGAAGGGAAUAACCUGGGGUGCUGCUGAGUGUAGGAGCCCACAGAGCCCCUUCCUCGCCGGUAGUGAGGAAUCCUCUGCUGCGCCACAGCCCUACUCCCAGUUUGUAAAUGUAAUCAACCUCGAGGUCUUGUUACUUCCACAGGUGCAAUUAACAUCACCAUCUGCUAAUCCCUGAUUAAUGAUGUUUACAAAUAUGCUACAACAUGUUAAAAUGUGCUGGCACUAUUAUUUCCAUUCCCUUUUUCUCCUCUCCCUGUUCCGUUGCAGCUUUCCCGGCGACGGCUUCCGUGCAUCCCACCCUUAGUGCGCAGACAGUUUGGUUUCCCUCUUUAAAAGCACUGCUCAACUCCAAACGAGCUGGGGGAAUGAGUUCAAAUCAGAAGGGAAAUUCUAACUCCUGUCCUCUGCCGCUGAGUAGAUCUUUAAGCUGGUAAUAACGUGAGACAGAGGGAAAUUAACGGCCUCGUCCUGCUCUUCCCUGGCUGAAAACGGCGGAAUUAAAGAAUUAUAAAGCUGAGUAUUUAAUUAGUGUUGAUUGUUGUUCGUGUGUUCAAUAACCACUCAUCAGGAGGGGGGUGUCCGCUGGGGCAGCGUGGCCUGGAGCACACAGGAGCCGAGGGUGUUCAUAAUUAAGGAUGCAAUUUAUUUGACAGCAGCCUCCUCCGGGGAAGCGAGCGGCAGCACUCCCUGUGCUGGAUGUGCCGAGCCCCAGAGCACUUGGGAAAUGCAUAGACCAACGUGGGCUUUUUGGCUCUUAAUAGGCAGUAGGGAUGAUCUGUGCGCUGAGCAUCUUCCUAAGGGACAGGCAUGGUCCCGUGGUGAACUGAGCCUCGGAGCACAGAGGGAGGAGGAUGAGGAUGCCGGGAGCACUGCCUCAGCUCUGGUGACACAUCCCUUGUCUCCCAGAUUUACACUCUUAUCUUUUUGCAUUGAAAGCCCUAUGUGAAGACAGAGAAGGUGGCAGGAGAUGCUGGCAGACACGAAUGCAAUGGGGGAGCCAGGGCUGUUAAGCCAAACUGUUCCCUGUGCAAAGGAUGCCAUGAGGGAUGCUGCGAGGGAUGUCACAAGGGAUGCAGCAAACGAUGCUAUCGUGGAUGCAGCAAAGGAUGCUAUGAAGGAUGCUGCGAGGGAUGCCACAAGGGAUGCAGCAAACGAUGCCAUCAUGGAUGCUAUGAAGGAUGCUGUGAGGGAGGCAGCAGAGGAUGUUGUUAAGGAUACUGCAAGGGAUGCUGCCUCCACGAGGCCACUGCUGCUCUCCUGCUGCUGCCAGCACAGGAGCUGAGUCGUGCUCUGGGCAUCACGGCUCCUGGGGUGGCUUCACCCUUGCCCUGUUCAGGUCAGAGGUUCCCAGAGCUUUCCCCAUCCCUGUGGGAGCAGGAUCAGGCCCUGCAUCCACACUGCUCUGUGUUACUGUGUGAUCGAUGCUGUCCGUCAGCACCGAGAGCUCCCGUGCACCUCUUUAAAGAACUCCAUUUACUGCUACAAUGAACACAGGCGGCUCGGCAGGGAGCGAUGGAGCCGAGGGGGAGCCUCUUUAUUUAUACAGACAGCUAAAAAGGACAACCUCACAAGAGAUGACAUUUACCCAGCAGACAGGAGCUGCUUUCCCAGGUUGGGUUCCUCCUCCUUCACACCAUCCAUUUUGGAUCUUGGAAUUCCUGCCUGCCUUCCCGGUGCCAGAGCUGGGGUGGAAGAGUUGCUCCCUGCAGCCCUGGUGCCAAACACAUCGAUUCUGGGCUGAACUGUCCCAAAGUGCAGCUGAUUCCCUCUCCCAACUGCCUUUCCCCUGGUUUCUUCUGGAAAUGGGAUUUAUUAUCCCUCUUAUACAGUGGAAUGUUGAAGGGAACUUGUUAAAGAGCUGCUGCUGCUGGGGGGGUGCUGAGACUCACUGCAGGGUUAAACAGAACUGCAGAGAAGCAAAUGAUUCCUGAAUGAACCUAUCCCUUAAUUCAUCAGUGAGAGCUCUGGAGGCAGUGCUCAGGUGCUUCCCAGGCAUCAUCUGGUGGAGCUUUCCCUUGGGAACCUCAGUUUUCCCAUCCAGGUGCCAGGACCUGGGGUAAGUCUACAGCCCAGUUGAUGCUGUUUAAUCAGCGUGAAGCUAUAGAUACGGCACUGGUGGGGUGUGCAGCUGAUGAAGUUAAGCAGCAAAUAAAGGGAAGUUCAUCUUCAUCAUGUGAUGGCAAGGAGCUGGUGGCCUCCUGCUGAGGAGAUGGGCAGUAGCAGCAGGUACUGCCCCAGCCCUUUGAGGAUGCAUUUAUAGAAUCCCAGCCUGGUUUGGGCUGGAAAGGACCUUAAAGCUCAUCCAGCUCCAACCCCUGCCACGGGCAGGGACCCCUUCCACUAGAGCAGCUUGCUCCAAGCCCUGUGUCCAGCCUGGCUU